GACGAACGCUGACGGCGUGCCUAAUACAUGCAAGUAGAACGCACAGUUUAUACCGUAGCUUGCUACACCAUAGACUGUGAGUUGCGAACGGGUGAGUAACGCGUAGGUAACCUGCCUGGUAGCGGGGGAUAACUAUUGGAAACGAUAGCUAAUACCGCAUAAUAUUAAUUAUUGCAUGAUAAUUAAUUGAAAGGUGCAAUUGCACCACUACCAGAUGGACCUGCGUUGUAUUAGCUAGUAGGUGAGGUAACGGCUCACCUAGGCGACGAUACAUAGCCGACCUGAGAGGGUGAUCGGCCACACUGGGACUGAGACACGGCCCAGACUCCUACGGGAGGCAGCAGUAGGGAAUCUUCGGCAAUGGACGAAAGUCUGACCGAGCAACGCCGCGUGAGUGAAGAAGGUUUUCGGAUCGUAAAGCUCUGUUGUAAGAGAAGAACGGGUGUGAGAGUGGAAAGUUCACACUGUGACGGUAUCUUACCAGAAAGGGACGGCUAACUACGUG
rnacentral:rRNA from 1 species